rnacentral:rRNA from 1 species
AUUGAACGCUGGCGGCAGGCCUAACACAUGCAAGUCGAGCGGCAGCGGGAGAAAGCUUGCUUUCUUGCCGGCGAGCGGCGGACGGGUGAGUAAGGUAUGGGGAUCUGGCCGAAGGCGGGGGAUAACCACUGGAAACGGUGGCUAAUACCGCAUAAUCUCUAAGGAGCAAAGUGGGGGACCUUCUGGCCUCACACCUUCGGAUGAACCCAUAUGAGAUUAGCUAGUAAGUGGGGUAAAGGCUCACCUAGGCGACGAUCUCUAGCUGGUCUGAGGGGAUGAUCAGCCACACUGGGACUGAGAGACGGGCCAGACUCCUACGGGAGGCAGCAGUGGGGAAUAUUGCACAAUGGGCGCAAGCCUGAUGCAGCCAUGCCGCGUGUAUGAAGAAGGCCUUCGGGUUGUAAAGUACUUUCAGUCGUGAGGAAGGUGUUAAGGUUAAUAGUCUUAGCAAUUGACGUUAGCGACAGAAGAAGCACCGGCUAACUCCGUGCCAGCAGCCGCAGUAA